CGUUAUUUCGUUACUUAGCGAGUGGAUAUCACCAGUAAUUAUUACUGAGGACGAUUACAUUUGUGAACCUUGUAAUGAACUCCUCAUGAGGAGCAUAAACCAGCAAUUAACAACAAGCUGUGAUGGUGCUCAAGCUUCUGGGUCAUCUCAACUUGGACGUAGACAAGUGGGCAGUAUUUGUGGACGGUCUACACUUAAUCGUCAGAGCCAUGCUAUUGUUAUUGACAAUCCUUCAGAAGAGCAAAGACAGAUUAAUGCUGUUAUACAAACAAGAAUUGCGCCACGUCAGAUAUCAUCAUCUGAUAGAAUAUGCCAUGCAUGCUGGAUGAGUUGCAAGCGUGCUGCCAUACGUAUUGAGCAUGCUGAUGAUGCCCGUGGAGUUGCUACUACUGAAGAAGUUCAAGUUGAAACUACUACUGAAGAAGUUCAAGUUGAAACAGGUGACUCUGAGCUAAUCACUGCUGAACCAGUUCAUGAAAGUCUAGAUCUGCCUUCUGUAGUUGCACCUAGUGAAAUAAUGUUGGAAAAUUAUAGACGGGCAGCAAAUACUGCUUCUCACUGCCUUUUCCCUCGAUGUAAUAAUAUUAAUUUGCACAAUAUGGCAGAUUCAUUUAGAGCAACAAUACUCAGUACAUAUCAAUAUUAUAUCCCUGUGCACAGCCGUGUUUGUACAGAACAUAGACUAAGUAACCAGUGGAGUAAUCUGUACAAUUCAAGUAAAGGUGUGUCCAAACAUAAAGCGGCAUUCGAGCGCGGCUGCCGCGCGCGGCUUGCCGCGCU